UACAGAGGUCUCAAGCGUUGUUCGGAUUCAUUGGGCGUAAAGGGCGCGUAGGCGGCAAUUCAAGUCAUCUGUGAAAUCUCCGGGCUUAACCCGGAACGGUCAGAUGAUACUGCUUUGCUAGAGUGCGGAAGGGGCAAUCGGAAUUCUCGGUGUAGCGGUGAAAUGCGUAGAUAUCGAGAGGAAAAACUGAGGGGAAGGCGGGUUGCUGGGCCGACACUGGCGGUGAAAGCGCGAAAGCCAGGGGAGCAAACGGG
rnacentral:rRNA from 1 species